CAGCAGCCGCGGGAAUACGGAGGGUGCAAGCGUUAUCCGGAUUCACUGGGUUUAAAGGGUGCGUAGGCGGAUCUGUAAGUCAGUGGUGAAAUCUCCAGGCUUAACCUGGAAACUGCCGUUGAUACUAUAGGUCUUGAAUUUUGUGGAGGUUAGCGGAAUAUGUCAUGUAGCCGUGAAAUGCAUAGAUAUGACAUAGAACACCAAUUGCGAAGGCAGCUGGCUACACAACUAUUGACGCUGAGGCACGAGAGCGUGGGGAUCAAACAGGAUUAGAUACCCCUGUAGUCCCUGUCUCUUAUAC
rnacentral:rRNA from 1 species